ensembl:lncRNA
CUAAACUGUGUGUGCCUUGUGGAGAACCUGAGGUUGGCAUUUGUUUGUUUUUAUCAGCAGGGUUGCCUUAUGGCCUCCACUAAAAUAAAGAAGUGUAAUCUCCAUGGUGCAAAAUAGAAGUCAGCAAAUCUCCUGCCAAGAAGCAGACAAGGAAAAAUGGUUUCUGGGCCUCUUCUUUUGGGAAGCUUACCAGCAACAACACCUGUGAAACAGUGCAUCACCUCCACUUGUGCACGUUUUUAUGAGAGAGGCAUGCAGGCUUUUCUUCACCACUGGCAAUAAAUGCACAGCUAAUGGUAACGACAAUU